UGCCUUGAGGUGGGGGACAACAGUUGGAAAACGACUGCUAAUACCGGCAUAAUGUCUACGGACCAAAAGGGGGGCUUUCGGCUCUCGCCUUUAGAUUGGCCCAAGUGGGAUUAGCUAGUUGGUGAGGUAAUGGCUCACCAAGGCGACGAUCCCUAGCUGGUUUGAGAGGAUGAUCAGCCACACUGGGACUGAGACACGGCCCAGACUCCUACGGGAGGCAGCAGUGGGGAAUAUUGCACAAUGGGCGCAAGCCUGAUGCAGCCAUGCCGCGUGUGUGAAGAAGGCCUUCGGGUUGUAAAGCACUUUCAGUCAGGAGGAAAGGUUAGUAGUUAAUACCUGCUAGCUGUGACGUUACUGACAGAAGAAGCACCGGCUAACUCCGUGCCAGCAGCCGCGGUAAUACGGAGGGUGCGAGCGUUAAUCGGAAUUACUGGGCGUAAAGCGUACGCAGGCGGUUUGUUAAGCGAGAUGUGAAAGCCCCGGGCUCAACCUGGGAACUGCAUUUCGAACUGGCAAACUAGAGUGUGAUAGAGGGUGGUAGAAUUUCAGGUGUAGCGGUGAAAUGCGUAGAGAUCUGAAGGAAUACCGAUGGCGAAGGCAGCCACCUGGGUCAACACUGACGCUCAUGUACGAAAGCGUGGGGAGCAAACGGGAUUAGAUACCCCGGUAGUCCACGCCGUAAACGAUGUCUACUAGAA
rnacentral:rRNA from 1 species